GUCCCUGUCGUCUAGAGGCCUAGGACUCCGGCUUUUCACGCCGUUAACACGGGUUCGAAUCCCGUCAGGGACG
rnacentral:tRNA from 1 species